AGCUUUGCGCAGUGGCGGUGUCGUUGCCUAUGAAGUGUGAACUCAGGCGCGACUAUUGCUAGUUGAAAACUUUUCUCAGUACCCCGCCGGGACGACGUGAAACACCGUCGGCCACGGCAAGUUUUGGGAGCAUCUACCGAGG